GAUGAACGCUAGCGGCAGGCCUAACACAUGCAAGUCGAGGGGCAGCACAGAAAUUCAGCAAUGAGUUUUGGUGGCGACCGGCAGACGGGUGCGUAACGCGUGUGCAACCUACCCUUAACAGGGGAAUAACGGAGGGAAACUUCCACUAAUACCCCAUAACAUCCCAAGAGGCAUCUCUUGGGGUUGAAAGCUCCGGCGGUUAAGGAUGGGCACGCGUUGUAUUAGAUUGUUGGUGAGGUAAAGGCUCACCAAGUCUACGAUACAUAGGGGGACUGAGAGGUUAACCCCCCACACUGGUACUGAGACACGGACCAGACUCCUACGGGAGGCAGCAGUGAGGAAUAUUGGUCAAUGGACGCAAGUCUGAACCAGCCAUGCCGCGCGCAGGAAGACGGCUCUAUGAGUUGUAAACUGCUUUUGCAAGAGGAUAAUUGCGGGUACGUGUACCCGCUUGAAGGUACCUUGCGAAUAAGGAUCGGCUAACUCCGUGCCAGCAGCCGCCGCGGUAA
rnacentral:rRNA from 1 species